UCCCAGUGGCUCAGCAGUAAAGAAUCUGCUUGCAAUGCAGGAGACCCAGGUUCUAUUCCUGGAUUAGGAA
rnacentral:tRNA from 1 species